GACGGAUGGGGCUAGCGUUGUUCGGAAUUACUGGGCGUAAAGGGCGCGUAGGCGGCCACUUAAGUUAGACGUGAAAGCCCUAGGCUUAACCUAGGAAUUGCGUUUAAUACUGGGUGGCUAGAGUUUGGCAGAGGAAAGCGGAAUUCCUAGUGUAGAGGUGAAAUUCGUAGAUAUUAGGAAGAACACCAGAGGCGAAGGCGGCUUUCUGGACCAACACUGACGCUGAGGCGCGAAAGCGUGGGGAGCAAACAGG
rnacentral:ncRNA from 2 species